rnacentral:rRNA from 1 species
AGCGGCGAACGGGUGAGUAACACGUGAGCAACCUGCCCUUAGCUCCGGGAUAGCUCCGGGAAACCGGAGGUGAUACCGGAUAUGACCACGACAUCGAAAGGAUCGGCUAAGGAUGGGCUCGCGGCCUAUCAGCUAGUUGGUGGGGUAACGGCCCACCAAGGCGACGACGGGUAGCCGGCCUGAGAGGGCGACCGGCCACGGUGGGACUGAGACACGGCCCAGACUCCUACGGGAGGCAGCAGUGGGGAAUAUUGCGCAAUGGGCGAGAGCCUGACGCAGCGACGCCGCGUGGGGGAUGAAGGCCUUCGGGUUGUAAACCCCUUUCAGCAGGGACGAAUGACGGUACCUGCAGAAGAAGCGCCGGCUACCUACGUGCCAGCAGCCGCGGUAAUACGUAGGGCGCAAGCGUUGUCCGGAAUUAUUGGGCGUAAAGAGCUCGUAGGCGGUCUGUUGCGUCCGCUGUGAAAACCCAGGGCUCAACCCUGGGCUUGCAGUGGAUAC